rnacentral:rRNA from 1 species
CCUACGGGUGGCAGCAGUGAGGAAUAUUGGUCAAUGGACGAGAGUCUGAACCAGCCAAGUAGCGUGAAGGAUGACUGCCCUCUGGGUUGUAAACUUCUUUUAUAAAGGAAUAAAACGAGGCACGUGUGCCUUUUUGCAUGUACUUUAUGAAUAAGGAUCGGCUAACUCUGCGCCAGCAGCCGCGGUAAUACGGAGGAUCCGAGCGUUAUCCGGAUUUAUUGGGUUUAAAGGGAGCGUAGAUGGGUUGGUAAGUCAGUUGUGAAAGUUUGCGGCUCAACCGUAAAAUUGCAAUUGAUACUGGCAGUCUUGAGUGCAGUUGAGGUAAGCGGAAUUCGUGGUGUAGCGGUGAAAUGCUUAGAUAUCAGGAGGAACCCCGGUGGCGAAGGCGGCUUACUAAACUGUAACUGACAUUGAUGCUCGAAAGUGUGGGUAUCAAACAGGAUUAGAUACCCCUGUAGUC